GGCCGACUAGCUCAGUUGGUUAGAGCGUCGUGCUAAUAUUGCGCAGGUAACUGAUGUAUUACGCGAAGGUCUUGGGUUCGAUCCCCACGUUGGCCA